rnacentral:rRNA from 1 species
UAUUAACUCUGGCGGCGUGCCUAAUACAUGCAAGUCGAGCGAACGGACGAGAAGCUUGCUUCUCUGAUGUUAGCGGCGGACGGGUGAGUAACACGUGGAUAACCUACCUAUAAGACUGGGAUAACUUCGGGAAACCGGAGCUAAUACCGGAUAAUAUUUUGAACCGCAUGGUUCAAAAGUGAAAGACGGCCUUGCUGUCACUUAUAGAUGGAUCCGCGCUGCAUUAGCUAGUUGGUAAGGUAACGGCUUACCAAGGCAACGAUGCAUAGCCGACCUGAGAGGGUGAUCGGCCACACUGGAACUGAGACACGGUCCAGACUCCUACGGGAGGCAGCAGUAGGGAAUCUUCCGCAAUGGGCGAAAGCCUGACGGAGCAACGCCGCGUGAGUGAUGAAGGUCUUCGGAUCGUAAAACUCUGUUAUUAGGGAAGAACAUAUGUGUAAGUAACUGUGCACAUCUUGACGGUACCUAAUCAGAAAGCCACGGCUAACUACGUG